AUUGAACGCUGGCGGCAUGCUUUACACAUGCAAGUCGAACGGUAACAGGCCUUCGGGUGCUGACGAGUGGCGAACGGGUGAGUAAUGCAUCGGAACGUGCCCAAUCGUGGGGGAUAACGUAGCGAAAGUUACGCUAAUACCGCAUAAGCCCUGAGGGGGAAAGCAGGGGAUCGCAAGACCUUGCGCGAAUGGAGCGGCCGAUGUCAGAUUAGCUAGUUGGUGGGGUAAAGGCCUACCAAGGCGACGAUCUGUAGCGGGUCUGAGAGGAUGAUCCGCCACACUGGGACUGAGACACGGCCCAGACUCCUACGGGAGGCAGCAGUGGGGAAUUUUGGACAAUGGGCGCAAGCCUGAUCCAGCCAUGCCGCGUGCGGGACGAAGGCCUUCGGUUGUAACCGAC
rnacentral:rRNA from 1 species